rnacentral:hammerhead_ribozyme from 1 species
GCACUGCUGAGGAGUCUUAGCAUAGGACGAAACAGCCGUCCAGUGC